rnacentral:rRNA from 1 species
AUUGAACGCUGGCGGCAUGCUUUACACAUGCAAGUCGAACGGGGUGAGGGGCGAACUCCUCAUCUAGUGGCGAACGGGUAGGAGUAAUGCAUCGGAACGUGUCCCGUACGUGGGGGAGUAACCCGGACGAAGACCGGACUAAUACCGCAUAUGCUCUACGGAGGAAAGGUAGGGGACCGAGCAAUGGCCUCACGCUAUGGGAGGCGGCCGA